AUGGGCCGUGUGGGGGGAGCUGGGGCCGUACUGGUGGUACUGGUGGUGCUGGGAGCCCCCCCGGCUGCGGGCGAGGAGCUCUAGGGGGUGUUCCAGUGGAUGCUAAAGCUGGAGUGUCAUUUCAUUGACGGCUCCGACCGCGUGAGGCUCGUGGAGAGGUUCGUCUACAACCGGGAGCAGCUCGUGCACUUCGACAGCGAUUUGGGGCACUUUGUGGGGGACACCCCCUUCGGGGAGAUCCAGGCCAAGCACUGGAACAGCCGGCCGGAAUUGGUGGAGCAGGGCCGGGUUCAGGUGGACACGUUUUGCCGGCACAACUACGAGGUGUCCACCCCAGACCUCGAGAGCCGCAGAGUGCCCCCCAGCGUGUCCAUCUCGCUGGUGCCGUCGAGCUCCCAGCCCGGCCCCAGCCGCCUGCUCUGCUCCGUGAUGGAUUUCUACCCUGCGCCGGUGCAGGUGAGGUGGUUCCAGGAUGGGCAGGAGGUCCCGGAGCACGUAAUGGCCACCGACAUGGUCCCCAACGGGGACUGGACCUACCAGGUGCUGGUGAUGCUGGAAAUCCCCCCCCGGCGCGGGGUCACCUACACCUACCAGGUGGAGCACGUCAGCCUGGAGCACCCCCUCAGCCGGCACUGGGAGAUGCUGCUGGACACCACCCACAGCAAGAUGCUGAUGGGGAUCGUGGGCUUCUUGUUGGGCUUCAUCUUCCUGGUGCUGGGGCUCGGCUUCUACCUGUGCCAGAAGGUGAGGGGGGUCCCCGGGGGUCAUGUCCCCCUCUCCCCACAGUGUGUGUGCCCCCCAGGGAACCCCCAGCCCUG